AACCGGGGCUAAUACCGAAUGAUAAAGUGUGGCGCAUGCCACGCUUUUGAAAGAUGGUUUCGGCUAUCGCUUACAGAUGGGCCCGCGGUGCAUUAGCUAGUUGGUAGGGUAAUGGCCUACCAAGGCAACGAUGCAUAGCCGACCUGAGAGGGUGAUCGGCCACACUGGGACUGAGACACGGCCCAGACUCCUACGGGAGGCAGCAGUAGGGAAUCUUCCGCAAUGGACGAAAGUCUGACGGAGCAACGCCGCGUG
rnacentral:rRNA from 1 species